UUUCUUUGUAGUGGCCAUUUUGUCAUGAAACUGUUCUUUUAACUGCUGCCAUUAUCUUGCAUCGUUCAACCGCUUUCGAUUGAACCCCUUGAGUCGUGGAACGUGAUAAGGUUACUUUAGCAACUGCCUCAAUAACUGCAUUUCUUGACAAUCAUAAUGCGUUAUGUUUGUUGAUACCUUGGGCGACUUGAAGAUUUGGGCGAGACUCUGGGCGACCGUAUGCCACUCUAUUCGUUCAGAUUCUGAGCGAUUUGCAAA
rnacentral:lncRNA from 1 species